CGGGUCUUAGUGGUACAGUGGGCCUCAGUCGCUUCGGCACGUCUACUGGCCUACUAAGUCCCAAG
rnacentral:pre_miRNA from 1 species